rnacentral:rRNA from 1 species
GAUGAACGCUAGCUACAGGCUUAACACAUGCAAGUCGAGGGGAAACGAUAGAGAAAGCUUGCUUUUUCUAGGCGUCGACCGGCGCACGGGUGAGUGACGCGUAUCCAACCUGCCCAUCACUUGGGGAUAACCUUGCGAAAGUAAGACUAAUACCCAAUGACGUCCAUAGAAGACAUCUGAAAUGGAUUAAAGAUUUAUCGGUGAUGGAUGGGGAUGCGUCUGAUUAGCUUGUUGGCGGGGUAACGGCCCACCAAGGCGACGAUCAGUAGGGGUUCUGAGAGGAAGGUCCCCCAUAUUGGAACAGAGACACGGACCAAACGCCUACGGGAGGCAGCAGUGAGGAAUAUUGGUCAAUGGACGAGAGUCUGAACCAGCCAAGUAGCGUGCAGGAUGACGGCCCUAUGGGUUGUAAACUGCUUUUAUAAGGGAAUAAAGUGAGUCUCGUGAGACUUUUUGCGUGUACCUUAUGAAUAAGGACCGGCUAAUUCCGUGCCAGCCGCCGCCGUAA